rnacentral:rRNA from 1 species
UUGUUGGCGGGGUAACGGCCCACCAAGGCCACGAUCAGUAGGGGUUCUGAGAGGAAGGUCCCCCACAUUGGAACUGAGACACGGUCCAAACUCCUACGGGAGGCAGCAGUGAGGAAUAUUGGUCAAUGGACGAGAGUCUGAACCAGCCAAGUAGCGUGCAGGAUGACGGCCCUAUGGGUUGUAAACUGCUUUUAUAAGGGAAUAAAGUGAGUCUCGUGAGACUUUUUGCAUGUACCUUAUGAAUAAGGACCGGCUAAUUCCGUGCCAGCAGCCGCGGUAAUACGGAAGGUCCGGGCGUUAUCCGGAUUUAUUGGGUUUAAAGGGAGCGUAGGCCGGAGAUUAAGCGUGUUGUGAAAUGUAGACGCUCAACGUCUGCACUGCAGCGCGAACUGGUUUCCUUGAGUACGCACAAAGUGGGCGGAAUUCGUGGUGUAGCGGUGAAAUGCUUAGAUAUCACGAAGAACUCCGAUUGCGAAGGCAGCUCACUGGAGCGCAACUGACGCUGAAGCUCGAAAGUGCGGGUAUCGAACAGGAUUAGAUACCCUGGUAGUCCGCACGGUAAACGAUGGAUGCCCGCUGUUGGUCUGAAUAGGUCAGCGGCCAAGCGAAAGCAUUAAGCAUCCCACCUGGGGAGUAC